UACGGAGGGUGCAAGCGUUGUCCGGAAUCACUGGGCGUAAAGGGCGCGUAGGCGGCCCGGUAAGUAGGGGGUGAAAUCCUGCGGCUUAACCGCAGGGCUGCCUUCUAAACUGUCGGGCUCGAGCACGGUAGAGGCAGGUGGAAUUCCCGGUGUAGCGGUGGAAUGCGUAGAGAUCGGGAAGAACAUCAGUGGCGAAGGCGGCGACCUGGGUCGAUACUGACGCUGAGGUGCGAAAGCGUGGGGAGCAAACAGG
rnacentral:rRNA from 1 species